rnacentral:rRNA from 1 species
CCUACGGGAGGCAACAGUGAGGAAUAUUGGUCAAUGGGCGCGAGCCUGAACCAGCCAAGUAGCGUGAAGGAUGACUGCCCUACGGGUUGUAAACUUCUUUUAUAAAGGAAUAAAGUGCGGCACGUGUGCCUUUUUGUAUGUACUUUAUGAAUAAGGAUCGGCUAACUCCGUGCCAGCAGCCGCGGUAAUACGGAGGAUGCGGGCGUUAUCCGGAUUUAUUGGGUUUAAAGGGAGCGUAGUUGGGUUGUUAAGUCAGUUGUGAAAGUUUGCGGCUCAACCAUAAAAUUGCAAUUGAGACUGGCAGCCUUGAGUACAGUUGAGGUAGGCGGAAUGCGUGGUGUAGCGGUGAAAUGCUUAGAUAUCACGAAGAACUCCGAUUGCGAAGGCAGCUUACUAAACUGCCACUGACAUUGAGGCUCGAAAGUGUGGGUAUCAAACAGGAUUAGAUACCCGUGUAGUC